rnacentral:rRNA from 1 species
CCUGCGGAAGGAUCAUUGUCGAAACCCCGACCGAAACGAGCUGACUUGCGCACGUGUCAACCAAAUAGAGGGGAUGGGGCGUGUCGUGCGAGGGGUCCCUCCUCGUCGCCUCCCCGCCCCCCCCUCGAAUGUCGUCCUGGCGUGGUCGCGAGGCGGCUCCUUCGCUUUAUGCGGGAUGCUUGUCGAGCGGCGACGAUAGGUCGGCAGCACAACAAAACCCCGGCGCAAGUCGCGCCAAGGAAAAUGGAUAUACAACCUGCGCGCUCCCCGUCGGCUUAGGCGACGGGGGCCGGCGUUGUGUCGUUUAAUGCAUAUAAUAGAUGACUCUCGGCAACGGAUAUCUCGGCUCUUGCAUCGAUGAAGAACGUAGCGAAAUGCGAUACUUGGUGUGAAUUGCAGAAUCCCGUGAACCAUCGAGUCUUUGAACGCAAGUUGCGCCCGAGGCCACUACGGCCGAGGGCACGUCUGUCUGGGCGUCGAAAGCAGAGGAACCUCACACCUCGCCCCCGCGUGGAGGUGUCGGUGGAGUAUGGCCUCCCGUGUCGUACGUCGUCUCGAUGCGGUUGGCUCAAAUGGGAAGCUCGGGGAAACGGAUGCCGUGGCAAUGGGUGGUCAGCGAGUUGUCGGAAAGGCACCGUCGGUCAUGUCACGUCUUGGUUUCCUCGAGCUUGGUUCGAUCCCGUU